rnacentral:rRNA from 1 species
AUUGAACGCUGGCGGCAUGCCUUACACAUGCAAGUCGAACGGCAGCACGGGUGCUUGCACCUGGUGGCGAGUGGCGAACGGGUGAGUAAUACAUCGGAACAUGUCCUGUAGUGGGGGAUAGCCCGGCGAAAGCCGGAUUAAUACCGCAUACGAUCUACGGAUGAAAGCGGGGGACCUUCGGGCCUCGCGCUAUAGGGUUGGCCGAUGGCUGAUUAGCUAGUUGGUGGGGUAAAGGCCUACCAAGGCGACGAUCAGUGGCUGGUCUGAGAGGACGACCAGCCACACUGGGACUGAGACACGGCCCAGACUCCUACGGGAGGCAGCAGUGGGGAAUUUUGGACAAUGGGCGAAAGCCUGAUCCAGCAAUGCCGCGUGUGUGAAGAAGGCCUUCGGGUUGUAAAGCACUUUUGUCCGGAAAGAAAUCCUUGGCCCUAAUACGGUCGGGGGAUGACGGUACCGGAAGAAUAAGCACCGGCUAACUACGUG